rnacentral:rRNA from 1 species
UUUAUUGGAGAGUUUGAUCCUGGCUCAGGAUGAACGCUGGCGGCGUGCCUAAUACAUGCAAGUCGAGCGAAUGGAUUGAGAGCUUGCUCUCAAGAAGUUAGCGGCGGACGGGUGAGUAACACGUGGGUAACCUGCCCAUAAGACUGGGAUAACUCCGGGAAACCGGGGCUAAUACCGGAUAAUAUUUUGAACUGCAUGGUUCGAAAUUGAAAGGCGGCUUCGGCUGUCACUUAUGGAUGGACCCGCGUCGCAUUAGCUAGUUGGUGAGGUAACGGCUCACCAAGGCAACGAUGCGUAGCCGACCUGAGAGGGUGAUCGGCCACACUGGGACUGAGACACGGCCCAGACUCCUACGGGAGGCAGCAGUAGGGAAUCUUCCGCAAUGGACGAAAGUCUGACGGAGCAACGCCGCGUGAGUGAUGAAGGCUUUCGGGUCGUAAAACUCUGUUGUUAGGGAAGAACAAGUGCUAGUUGAAUAAGCUGGCAC